UCGUCCCACGCGCAGCGACUUCCGCCCGCCUGCUCGCGCCACUUCCUGCGCGCUGGGAACCCGCUCCGCCCGCGCACCGCCCCGCGCUUGGGUUCCGGGGGGAGGGGCCGUGUGUACACCCCCACCACCCGCGCCCGUUCACUUCAUCUGCGUGGCUGGGGCCAGGAUCUGAAUGUCUCCAGGGAAAACCGCAGCUGAAAAGUUCCCAAGCAGGCCUGCUUGUGUGAUGCAUGCUCAAGGGCAUGGCAGGCUUCUGAGGGGCUGGAGACUAUUCCUGCAGUUUUGAUAUUCAUCCAAUCUUCAGAAAGUGCUGAAUGAAGAGUAUGAUGACGUUCUGGAGGAAAUGAUGUUGGAUAUCACAGUAAUGAAGAAAGGAGAAUCUAUUGUUACUGUUGAACUUAAAGAAAAUGGUCCAAACAUUCCCAUCACUAAGCAUAACAGGAAAGAAUAUAUUGAUGUGUAUGUGAAUUACACAUUCAAUUUUAAUCUGUGAAGAGGCAAUUUAAAGAUUUCAACGGAUGCAUUUUUAAGAGGCUGCCCAGCCAACAGGUGGAGGAUCUUUCUUCCCACUGAACUUCAGGCCGUUUUCUAUGGGCAUACCAAAUAUAACUGGCAGCUGCUGGAAAAGGGCAGUGUAAUACCAAUACUAGAGGUUUGCUUGAGCUGCCAAGGUGUAUCAUAGGAAUUGCAAUUCAAGUGCCUGCUGCCCACAUUGUUCUCCACGAGCAAGGAUCCCUGGCUGAACUACAUCCCAGGAUUCACCAUGUGUUCCCUCUGGCAGAACAGCAGAGGUGCAUCAUGGGAGAUAGAUAGAUAAAGAUCUUCCCAGAGCCGCCCAUACUAGCCUUCAAACAAGCACCAAACCUCGCCAACCUCAUCACCAGAAGCAAACUUCCUCAAGCCCAGAACACACCAAAAGGAUCCAGACGGUGCCAUGACAAAAAAUGCAAAACCUGCCAACACCUCUCUACCACCCCCACAAUUACUACACCCCACAACAGCCAUCAGCAUCCCUGGAUCUUACAGCUGCAUCUCCAGAAAUGUAAUAUAACUCAUCCAAUGCACCAAAUGCCCUGAUGGAAAAUACGUAGGAGAGACCAAACAACAACUGCGCACCACAAUGAAUGCACACCAGAAAUCUAUCAAAGACAGAAACACUCAAUUACCGGUGGGGGCACAUUUCUCACAGGAGGACCACUCUCUCUCCAAUCUCUCAGUCCUGAUCCUCAAGGGAAACUUACACAACACUUCCCAGAGACGAGCCUAUGAGCUCUAUUUCAUCAACCUCCUGAAUACUAGAGAUCAUGGACUAAAUAUAGACAGUGGAUUUUUGAUACAUUAUAAUCUGCCUGACAACUGACUCCCCAGCCCAGCCCCUGGCUUCUUUACUUUUCAUUCCAUUCCAUCCAGGAAGAGCACACACCAACUACUGAAACUUCCUUAGCCUGACGAAGGGUUUUUGAACUCGAAAGCUUGCUUAAUAACUAUUCUCCAACUAUUUGGGUUGGUCUAAUAAAAGAUAUCAAAUUCACCCAAGGAACCUUGUCUGCUCAUGGGAAAUAGUGCACUCAUUUCUAUUCAGUGGUAUGGGUGGGGUUGUCAAGAAUUUGAACUACAACUCCCAUUAGAUUUGCAGUGGUUUAAAGCAGUGUUUCCCAACAUUUUCCAGCCCAAGGCACACUUACAUUAAUAAAAAUGUUUCGUGGCACACCUGUUGAGGCAUUCCCCAUCCUCAUACCUAUUGUAGCUUAUUGCCAUGGCACAAUUCUGUGGCACACUUUUGUGCUGCAGCAUACUAGUUGGGAAACACUGGUUUAAAGAGAUGCAAAUUAAGCCCGUUCAAAAGAAACCUUUGCAUUCUGAUGAAAAAUGUUUCAACAAAAUGUUUUGAUAAGCCCUAGCUCAGACAUUAAUGAGGUUUUCCAUUCUGGAGAAAUGUUGCCUGUUUGUGCCACAAACAAACGCCAGAAUAUCAGAAUUUCUCACGGGACUAAAAUUCUGAUUUUUCCACCAACUCUAGUACCUCAGUUUUGGGCUCCACAAUUAAAAAAGGAUGUGGAGAAGCUUGAGAGAGUCCAGAGAAGAGCCACACACAUGAUCAGAGGUCAAGAAAACAGACCUUACGACAACAGGCUGAGAGCCAUGGGACUCUUUAGCCUGGAAAAGCGCAGACUCAGGGGUGAUCUGAUGGCCACCUAUAAGUUUAUCAGGGGUGACCACCAGUACCUGGGGGAACGUUUGUUCACCAGAGCGCCCCAAGGGAUGACAAGGUCGAACAGUUAUAAACUACUGCAAGACUGUUUCAGGCUAGACAUAAGAAAGAAUUUCUUUACUGUCCGAGCUCCCAAGGUCUGGAAUAGCCUGCCAUCGGAGAUGGUUCAAGCACCCACAUUGAACACCUUCAAGAGUAAAUUGGAUGCUUAUCUUGCUGGGAUCCUAUGACCCCAGCUGACUUCCUGCCCUUCGGGCGUGGGGCUGGACUCGAUGAUCUUCCUAGGUCCCUUCCAGCCCUAAUGUCUAUGAAAUCUAUGAACUGAACUCUCUCUGCAAGGUAUUCCCUGGUAACUUUCUCUAUAGUGCUGGAUGGUGAUAGCAGGUGGCAUUGGACAUGUUCCAAAAAAUGAGAUUCCCCAAAUUCAUUUCUAACUCUAGUGUUAUUUAAGUUUUAAGAAGAAGGAAGCUUGGUUGAGGUCCUUAGAGCUUUCUUUGCUUGUGGGAGUAGUCCUGAUUGGUACAAGUCAACCCAGCUUAUGCCACACAAGACUUGCACCAUAUGAAAUGCAGUUUAAAAAGCAAGUGUCCAGAUAUAGAACCAGUUUAGAAUGGUUUAAAGGACUUGAAAGUUCCUGGAACAUUUCAAAAAUAUACCUAGAUAAUCAGGUAUUAUUUUGAUCCAGUUUUCUGUGAACUAGUUCAGUGACAUCUGCAGACACCAAGCUUCCAGGACUAGUGUCUGGUCAGUCCUCCAGGCACCCUGUACUGCACCAUUUCUAAGUCCUCCUAGCCCCCACCCCAACUCUCAUAUGGCAACUGGCUGCUCUGGUAAUGCUCAUUACUCAGAUGGGUGGAGUGCCCCUAUUUCUGGGCAAGCAACAAUUGUAGCAGGCUUGCCUUUCAGAGCUUGGGUUGAGUCCCAGGCUUGAAAUCUUACUGUUUUGAUUGGUGGAGCUCAUCCACCAAUCAGGAGGCAGCAAGAGCAGUUAAGUCGCACCCUUUUCCUGAGGGGAGGGGAGAGGAGUCGUUCCUACCCCCCACCCCCCGGACUUGAUUGAAGACUGCAACACUCAGGUCCGGAAGACUUCAGGGGCAGAGCCCUGGAGAGUAUUAAAGGAGCUGUGAGCCCAGCAUGAGGGGACACAUCUGGGACAGCGAAGAGAGAAGAGCGGGGCUCAGAAGAGCUGCUCAGCACAGCGAAGCAGUAGCCCAGAAGCGCCCCUGAAGACUUCCAUCACCGGGGAACAGCAGACGGCUCCAGCAGCUAGGCUCUCGGUGUGCGGCACAGCACACAGCAUCCAGACCCUGGGAGCUGUGUGAGGUGGCUCGGGUCUGCAAUCUCUGGCAUGCAGCCAGAGACACGGUGCACAGGAUGCUGCACAAAGUAGGACCUUUGGAGCGCUUGAGCGGCUCGGGUCCUCAACCCCCGGAACGAGGCUGGGAGCUCAGUGCAGGAGGCGCUGCACAGAGGGUCCAGGAGCGGACCAAGCCUGGUGCUGCACAAGGCAGCCCCCCCGCCCCCGAAACCCACUGCAGGCAAGAGAGCAGCCUGGUGCAGAGGACGAGACCACCCUCCAGGCCUGGGAGCCCUGAGUUGCAAGGAAAAGAGGGUUCCCACAGGGGAAGAGAGGGCCCCCCUAAAGUUACCAGCUUCUUUGUAGGGCUUGGGAAUAGCCCAAAGGCAUUGGGGUUUCCCCUCGGGAUUGAGUUUAUCUUUGGGGUUUAUCUGUUUCAGAUCAGAUACUUACCUGUAUCUGGAGCACUGGUAUAAGGUUUUAUGUCAUUUACCCAGAAAGUAUUGUUUAUAUUACUGGUUUAGAUAUCUUAUAUGUACAAUGUAUGUAUGUGUGUAUAUGUUUAUAUCCAUGUUCCUUUCCCUUGUGAUAAGUUAAUGUAAAUAAAUGUGUAUAU